UACGUAGGUGGCGAGCGUUGUCCGGAUUUACUGGGCGUAAAGGGAGCGUAGGCGGACUUUCAAGCCAGAAGUGAAAGGCUACGGCUCAACCGUAGUAAGCUUUUGGAACUGUAAGACUUGAGUACAGGAGAGGAGAGUGGAAUUCCUAGUGUAGCGGUGAAAUGCGUAGAUAUUAGGAAGAACACCAGUGGCGAAGGCGGCUCACUGGUCCGGAACUGACGCUGAGGUGCGAAAGCGUGGGGAGCAAACAGGAUUAGAUACCCCCGUAGUCCCUGAG
rnacentral:rRNA from 1 species